CCUACGGGGGACAGCAGUGGGGAAUUUUGGACAAUGGGCGCAAGCCUGAUCCAGCUAUUCCGCGUGUGGGAAGACGGCCUUCGGGUUGUAAACCACUUUUGCAGAGAACGAAAAGUCUAUUGAUAAUACCGAUCGACGAUGACGGUACUCUAAGAAACAGCAUCGGCUAACUCCGUGCCAGCAGCCGCGGUAAUACGGAGGAUGCGAGCGUUAUCCGGAUUUAUUGGGUUUAAAGGGUGCGUAGGCGGAAUAUCAAGUCAGCGGUAAAAAUUCGGGGCUCAACCCCGUCGUGCCGUUGAAACUGAUGUUCUGGAGUGGGCGAGAAGUAUGCGGAAUGCGUGGUGUAGCGGUGAAAUGCAUAGAUAUCACGCAGAACUCCGAUUGCGAAGGCAGCAUACCGGCGCCCAACUGACGCUGAAGCACGAAAGCGUGGGUAUCGAACAGGAUUAGAUACCCCAGUAGUC
rnacentral:rRNA from 1 species